rnacentral:tRNA from 1 species
GACAACGUGGCCGAGCGGUUAAGACGAUUGACUAGAAAUCAAUUGGGAUUUUCCCGCGUAGGUUCAAAUCCUGCCGUUGUCG